rnacentral:rRNA from 1 species
GGGACACGUGGUAUCCUGUCUGAAUAUGGGGGGACCAUCCUCCAAGGCUAAAUACUCCUGACUGACCGAUAGUGAACCAGUACCGUGAGGGAAAGGCGAAAAGAACCCCGGCGAGGGGAGUGAAAAAGAACCUGAAACCGUGUACGUACAAGCAGUGGGAGCCCCACCACUAAGCCAGUGGUGAACUCCACAUACGCAUCCUUUGCUGAGGAUACGGUUAACGGAGCGAAAGCGACGUUCAACCGCAAAAGAAGCAGAGGGGGCUUAGUGGUGGGGUGACUGCGUACCUUUUGUAUAAUGGGUCAGCGACUUAUAUUCUGUAGCAAGGUUAACCGAAUAGGGGAGCCGGAGGGAAACCGAGUCUUAAUUGGGCGUUAAGUUGCAGGGUAUAGACCCGAAACCCGGUGAUCUAGCCAUGGGCAGGUUGAAGGUUGGGUAACACUAACUGGAGGACCGAACCGACUAAUGUUGAAAAAUUAGCGGAUGACCUGUGGCUGGGGGUGAAAGGCCAAUCAAACCGGGAGAUAGCUGGUUCUCCCCGAAAGCUAUUUAGGUAGCGCCUCGUGAAUUCAUCUCCGGGGGUAGAGCACUGUUUCGGCUAGGGGGCCAUCCCGGCUUACCAACCCGAUGCAAACUGCGAAUACCGGAGAAUGUUAUCACGGGAGACACACGGCGGGUGCUAACGUCCGUCGUGAAGAGGGAAACAACCCAGACCGCCAGCUAAGGUCCCAAAGUCAUGGUUAAGUGGGAAACGAUGUGGGAAGGCCCAGACAGCCAGGAUGUUGGCUUAGAAGCAGCCAUCAUUUAAAGAAAGCGUAAUAGCUCACUGGUCGAGUCGGCCUGCGCGGAAGAUGUAACGGGGCUAAACCAUGCACCGAAGCUGCGGCAGCGAACGUAUCACUUAAAGCGAUUCAGCGGGUUACGAUUGACGGAGCGAAGCGACGUCAAAGCGUAUACAAAGUCGAGUCGGUUUAAGGAUACGUU